CGUACACUCCUACGGGAGGCAGCAGUAGGGAAUCUUCCACAAUGGGUGCAAACCUGAUGGAGCAAUGCCGCGUGAGUGAAGAAGGUCUUCGGAUCGUAAAGCUCUGUUGUUAGAGAAGAACACGUGCUAGGUAACUACUAGCGCCUUGACGGUAUCUAACCAGAAAGUCACGGCUAACUACGUGCCAGCAGCCGCGGUAAUACGUAGGUGACAAGCGUUGUCCGGAUUUAUUGGGCGUAAAGGGAGCGCAGGCGGUCUGUUUAGUCUAAUGUGAAAGCCCACGGCUUAACCGUGGGACGGCAUUGGAAACUGACAGACUUGAAUGUAGAAGAGGAAAAUGGAAUUCCAAGUGUAGCGGUGGAAUGCGUAGAUAUUUGGAGGAACACCAGUGGCGAAGGCGAUUUUCUGGUCUAACAUUGACGCUGAGGCUCGAAAGCGUGGGGAGCGAACAGGAUUAGAAACCCUGGUAGUCCC
rnacentral:rRNA from 1 species